rnacentral:rRNA from 1 species
AUGGCGUACGGCGGCGGCAGGAGGGGCUCGUCCAGGUGGGGCCUUCCGAUGGUGAGGUCGGACGCGCUCGGCAAGCUGGGCCCCUCCUUCGGCAUCGGCGCCGGCUGCGGCGUCGGCGUCGGGGUCGGCCUCAUCGGCGCUUUUGGAGUGGGAAGACUGCAGGGUUCAGGUAACUCAGGCGCAGGAAUUGGAGCUGGAUUCCCUGGGUUACAGCUGGGAUUCGGAGCUGGUGCUGGAUGUGGAAUAGGAAUAGGUUUCGGCUAUGGCUUUGGAAAGGGAAUUGCAUAUGACGAGAAUGGGAAAUAUUCAAACAUCAGGAGAUCAUUUCAGAACACCAGGAGCCUCCCUUAUGACCAGGAGUUUGACAUCCUGUUUGACGAGGUGAUGGAGAGCACCAGGAGGCUGAUCAAAGCGACGACAAAGGAGCUCGACAAGUGGAGGCGCAUGUAG